GAUGAACGCUGGCGGCGUGCCUAAUACAUGCAAGUCGAGCGAACAGACGAGGAGCUUGCUCCUCUGACGUUAGCGGCGGACGGGUGAGUAACACGUGGAUAACCUACCUAUAAGACUGGGAUAACUUCGGGAAACCGGAGCUAAUACCGGAUAAUAUAUUGAACCGCAUGGUUCAAUAGUGAAAGACGGUUUUGCUGUCACUUAUAGAUGGAUCCGCGCCGCAUUAGCUAGUUGGUAAGGUAACGGCUUACCAAGGCGACGAUGCGUAGCCGACCUGAGAGGGUGAUCGGCCACACUGGAACUGAGACACGGUCCAGACUCCUACGGGAGGCAGCAGUAGGGAAUCUUCCGCAAUGGGCGAAAGCCUGACGGAGCAACGCCGCGUGAGUGAUGAAGGUCUUCGGAUUGUAAAACUCUGUUAUUAGGGAAGAACAAAAGUGUAAGUAACUAUGCACGUCUUGACGGUACCUGAACAGAAAGCCACGGCUAACUACGUG
rnacentral:rRNA from 1 species